GAACUCCGGAGAAUCUCAUUUGUGAGUGCCGAAGGGGCAAGGCUGCGCGGCGGCUGAAACUCUCAGGCAAAAGGACGGAGCAGG
rnacentral:ncRNA from 1 species